rnacentral:rRNA from 1 species
AUUGAACGCUGGCGGCAGGCCUAACACAUGCAAGUCGAACGAGUGGCGGACGGGUGAGAAAUGUCUGGGAAACUGCCCGAUGGAGGGGGAUAACUACUGGAAACGGUAGCUAAUACCGCAUACCAUCGGAUGUGCCCAGAUGGGAUUAGCUAGUAGGUGGGGUAACGGCUCACCAAGGCGACGAUCACUAGUUGGUCUGAGAGGAUGACCAGCCAAACUGGGACUGAGACACGGUCCAGACUCCUACGGGAGGCAGCAGUGGGGAAUAUUGCACAAUGGGCGCAAGCCUGAUGCAGCCAUGCCGCGUGUAUGAAGAAGGCCUUCGGGUUGUAAAGUACUUUCAGCGAGGAGGCGUUACUCGCAGAAGAAGCCCCGGCUAACUCCGUGCCAGCAGCCGCGGUAAUUC